GUUAUUAGAUGAGAAAGCUAGGUUAAUAGAUGAGAAAGCAAAUUUGGAACUGAAGCAGGCUAGCUUUAAGGAGAAGAUUAGCCAGAUCUUAGAUGAGAAAGCCAAUAUGGGAUUGAAACAGGAAAGUUUGGAGGAAAAAAUAAGACAACUAUAAGAGAUCAUGGUUCGUGGGUCUCAAAGGAGGAACAUUUAGUGGAAAAAAUACGAGAACUAGAAAGGGAUCAUGAUUCUUGGGUUUUAAAGGAGGUACUCUACGGACUUCGCUUGAUAGCUUGUUCUUGUUUAGAUUGCAUUGAGAAAAGGUUUUUUCAUUCAAUGAGCUUAUGGUCAAAGCAUUUUUUACCUAUGACAUAUGGGGAUGACAGACUUUGAAACUAAUUCACAGAAAAGUUUGGAGGAAAAAAUAAGAUAAUUAGGAAAAAAUCAUAAAUCCUGACUUUUAAAGGAGGUGAGAAACUUUCUGUAAUAU